AGUAAUGAGGUGCGAGGCGCGGUGGUAAUACGGGGGGUGGAGGCGUUGGUCUGAAUUGCUGGACGUAAAGCGCGUGCAGGCGGUUCGUGAAGGUGAGGGUGGAAGGUCCCAGCUCAACGGGGAGGUGUCCGUGGAUACUGGCGGACUUGAGGGGGGUAGAGGGGAGUGGAAUUCCCGGUGUAGUGGUGAUAUGUGUAGAUAUCGGGAGGAACACCAGUGGCGAAGGCGGCUCUCUGGGCCCUACCUGACGCUGAGACGCGAAAGCGUGGGGAGCGAACCGGAUUAGAUACCCGUGUAGUC
rnacentral:rRNA from 1 species